rnacentral:lncRNA from 1 species
CUCUGAGGUCCAUUGACACAUGCAGCAGAACAUAAAGCAACCUCAGGCCAAAUGAGAAUUAAGGCAAUUACCUCUGGUCACACCAGUCUCUUUGUGACUUGUUUUUCUCCUCUCACUUCUUUGCAGAGUGCCUUCCUGUGCCUAAAUGGUUUUGGAAAAAAAGGAGAGAGACUCUGGAAGAAAAAGGGGGCUGUGCAGCCUUCUCACUGAGCAAAGAGAGCUGUCUGAGACCAUGUCGUUCUUGUUUUGCUUAUACAAUUCGGCAUGAUUGCGGUGAUUUCUAUAAAAAGACAAUUGGCCACUGAAGGGUUCCCUCUUGGUGGAACUGGACUAGAGCUGAUCACUAACAAGGCUGAAUCUUUAUUAAGUUUGCAAGGACAACUUCAAGAAGUGAAGCAAAGAGAUGUGAGAAGCAAAGGACCAACAAGCUGCCUCUUCUUCCGGCAAAUUGCACCAACUAACAUGAGCAGUAGCUGCUUCAGGCCUCACUGGCCUCUCUCUUUGGCUUUGCAUAGAAAGGAACUCCAAAGGCAGAAAAUGGAGAAGGGAUGGUACCCUGCUCCAGCAGCUGGAGCUCUGCAGGUUUGGUGGUAGGUGUUGAUGGUUGCAUUACUUGAAUGGAAGUGCUACUGUGGCUUUCCUCAGCACACCAACUACCCAUCAGGAUAGGAUUCAG